rnacentral:misc_RNA from 1 species
AACUUUUAGCAAUGGAUCACUUGGCUCUCCUAUCGAUGAAGAACGCAGCGAAAUGCGAUAAGUAAUGUGAAUUGCAGAAUUCAGUGAAUCAUUGAAUCUUUGAACGCACCUUGCGCCCUUUGGUAUUCUGAAGGGCAUGCCUGUUUGAGUGUCAUUAAAUUAUCAACCUUGCUCGCUUUUACCGGCUUGAGUUAGGCUUGGAUGUGAGGGCUUUGCUGGCUUCCUUUAGUGGAUGGUCUGCUCCCUUUAAAUGCAUUAGUGGGAUCUCUUGUGGACCGUCACUUGGUGUGAUAAUUAUCUAUGCCUUUUGACUUUGAAGCAAACUUAUGGGAACCUGCUUAUAACCGUCUUCGGACAAUCUAUUGACAUUUUGACCUCAAAUCAGGUAGGACUACCCGCUGAACUUAAGCAUAUCAAUAAGCGGAGGCU